GUAAGUAGGCUUAUUUAUUAUUUUUUUAUGUUUUUUUGUGUUCUCAGGUAAGUAGAAUCUUAAUUAGUAUCAUGUACUUUUUAUUUUCAGGAAGAUGGGGCUCGAUUUGUGUUAGGUGCUUUUUAAGUAAUUGUGGAAUUAUGUAUUAUAUACUAUAUUAUCAAGUGUAUUUUGAGGAAUUUUUAUUUCAGGUCAAUAGGGAUUAAUUUGUAUUAUGUACUUUUUAAUUUUCAGAGAAGUAGGGCUUAAUUUGUAUUAGAUAUCUGUUAUUAUCCCGGUUAAUAGGGCUUAAUUUGUAUUAUAUGCUUUGUUAUCGAUUGUAUUUAGAGGAAUUUUUAUUCUGAAUCAGUGGAAUCACUUUCCUUGAAUUCUGGAGUGAGGAUAAAUUAACAAGCCGUUGCAACGUUUCGGUUCUCCUGGAACCUUCUUCAGGCAGGCUUGUUAUGAUUUGAAAUUAGUUGAAUAAGUUUGAGGAUCCAAAAAAAUAUGAGUAUUGUUUACAGGCUUUCUCUCAAAGAGCUGGAAGCAGAUUUACUAAAAUGGAUUAAGCAUCAAAAGAAUAUGAUUAGUGUUUAAAGGCUUUCUCUCAAAGAGCUGUAAGCAGAUUUACUAAAAUAGAUUAAGUAUCAAUAGAGUACGAGUA
ensembl:lncRNA